UACGAAGGGGGGCUAGCGUUGCUCGGAAUCACUGGGCGUAAAGGGUGCGUAGGCGGGUUUUAAGUCAGGGGUGAAAUCCUGGAGCUCAACUCCAGAACUGCCUUUGAUACUGAAGAUCUUGAGUCCGGGAGAGGUGAGUGGAACUGCGAGUGUAGAGGUGAAAUUCGUAGAUAUUCGCAAGAACACCAGUGGCGAAGGCGGCUCACUGGCCCGGUACUGACGCUGAGGCACGAAAGCGUGGGGAGCAAACAGG
rnacentral:rRNA from 1 species